rnacentral:rRNA from 1 species
UGAGACACGGCCCAGACUCCUACGGGAGGCAGCAGUGGGGAAUUUUGGACAAUGGGCGCAAGCCUGAUCCAGCCAUGCCGCGUGCGGGAAGAAGGCCUUCGGGUUGUAAACCGCUUUUGUCAGGGAAGAAAUCUUCUGGGUUAAUACCUCGGGAGGAUGACGGUACCUGAAGAAUAAGCACCGGCUAACUACGUGCCAGCAGCCGCGGUAAUACGUAGGGUGCGAGCGUUAAUCGGAAUUACUGGGCGUAAAGCGUGCGCAGGCGGUUUUAUAAGACAGAUGUGAAAUCCCCGGGCUCAACCUGGGAACUGCAUUUGUGACUGUAGAGCUGGAGUGCGGCAGAGGGGGAUGGAAUUCCGCGUGUAGCAGUGAAAUGCGUAGAUAUGCGGAGGAACACCGAUGGCGAAGGCAAUCCCCUGGGCCUGCACUGACGCUCAUGCACGAAAGCGUGGGGAGCAAACAGGAUUAGAUACCCUGGUAGUCCACGCCCUAAACGAUGUCAACUGGUUGUUGGACGGCUUGCUGUUCAGUAACGAAGCUAACGCGUGAAG